rnacentral:rRNA from 1 species
UACGUAGGGUGCGAGCGUUGUCCGGAAUUAUUGGGCGUGAAAGAGCUUGUAGGCGGUUUGUCGCGUCUGCCGUGAAAAUUCGAGGCUCAACCUCGAACUUGCGGUGGGUACGGGCAGACUAGAGUGUGGUAGGGGAGACUGGAAUUCCUGGUGUAGCGGUGAAAUGCGCAGAUAUCAGGAAGAACACCAGUGGCGAAGGCGGUGCUCUGGGCCGGAACUGACGCUGAGGAGCGAAAGCGUGGGGAGCAAACAGG